UCAUCGGUUUUGAUGUAGGCCCAAUAGUCUAUCCACUACACACCUUUUUCCAAGAAAAACAACCCAUUUCCCUUGAAAAAAUACAACGCACUAUCCUCCCAUCUCGUUAGAUCCCCCACCAGGCUCCUCUCAUCCACAUGCGCCAUUUCUUCCGAUUUGCUGCGAGCGAUUGAAAGAUGUCGCUGCUGGCAUCAAGUAAUCGAUCCGCAUGCUAUCCUGAAUCUAGUUGCCACUUAUUUUCUUUUGAAUUUCUCUUCCUUGGGUGGUGGCUUAGGUGUCCGGAUGAGUGCGUGCACGCGUUUGAUGCAGUCUCUACGGGUGCGGAUCCUCACUUACCUCGUCGACACUGGCAACACGGCUACGGUGAGGGCCAGGCAGAAAGCGCCGGCUGUGCUGCUCGACCUCGUCUAGCGGCCAUGGCAGAGGUGCUGAAGGUUGGUGGCGCGGAGGAGACGGUGGUGGAUCUCACGGAGGAUGGGGCGCCGCUUCGUGGAUUUGCAGAACGAAAACGUGCUACUGACUUACUGAGUUGUUACCCUGCUCAUUUGUCGUGCUGUCGGACUCGUACUAAAUUGAACAAUGGCCUUCUCUUUUGCAAAAAAAGCGACAACAUCUGACUUUUGUACUCUUGGUCUUCCAGCCUUUUUUUUACUUUUGCUCCAGCAGAUUUCCUGUUCUUGCGGACAUCUUUUCCCUUUCUUUCUGUUGUACUUGCCACAUUUCAUUCUUCCUCUUGAAUCAUUUGAUAGUACAAUAGAUCUCAGUCUCCUCUUUUUGUCACUUUGUAGUUCACAUGAUGAUAACAGUUGGUCGCGGUGCCCAUCUUUGUUUACUGUAGCCCCAUUGCUAUCAUGUGGUUCCUCUUUCGCAGGCACCAGUUCACAUGACAUUUUGUUAGGUGAAACUUUAUUAUUCCGUGACUGCAAAAUAAAUAUAUAUUUGGAAAUUAGACAUGUUUCUAAAAAUCUGGAAGUGUGUAUGUGAAUAAAAAAUCAAUCACCCUUUUAACUGCAGCUUCUUUGUAUUAUGUUUUAGCAAGGCGUCCUCUUCAUCAUCCAUCAAAUCAUGUGUAACAUAUGUGCCGAAUCGGUUUGGAACUUAUAAACAUGGUACCUAAUUAUUAAUUUUUGGAAAAAUGAAUAAAAGCACCUUUACCUCCUCAGCUUUAUUGUAUAAGUACAGCAUCUCAAGUCGAUCAUUAGGCACAAAUGUUAAUUUUACAUAAUUAUGGUAUUAACUUUGGAGCAUCAGAUUUCCCAUCCAAUGACUCGGCAAGUUAAAGACAGAUGUAUAAUGGUCAGAAAAAUAAUUAGUUUGAAGUCUUAAUUACAAAUAUAAAAAUACCCGAGCGUUGGAGUGUAGUUGAAAGUCUCAAUUAAAAUUAUAAACAUACAUGAGCAUCGUAUAUCUUCCUGUGCCUGUUCUUAUAUUAAGUCAGGUUCUUGGUAGAUAGCUCGAAGUAAUAAAAGGACGAUAUUUUGUGGAUUCCUCAACCGUAAAAUUGCUAAAUGGAUAAGUAUAUUGCUCAUCGAUCUUUGAUCUGAAAGUGUGUAUGAGACUUAGUAAUUGUUUUUAGAAAUGCUAGAAUAAUUUCCAGUUUAAAAUAUAAAGAACAUACGUUCAUCCAUUAAGAUCAUAUCUAGGCUAAUAAGCUCAUCAAUUGUAGGAUUUAUCCCAUAUCCGUAUUACUUUCACUUAAAUGUUCCCGUUUUGUCACUUUGUGGUUAAGUCGCUCAAUUUCUUGUGUGGCACAAUGUUUUGCCUACAAAUAAUACAAAAAUAAGUUUUCAAUUCAUGAAGUACAAGUGAAGACUGUAAAAAAUAAGUGAAUUUAGUAUAUAAUAAUUACCAAACUUGAUGAUUCAGGUGAGAAGACAUUGGGUGUGGCUUCGUCCAACUUUAAGUUACAUGUUAUGUGAAGCUGUUGGAUGUGGUAGUCGUGGAGUGUCAGUUCUUGUUGACUUCAAUAUUUGUCGGUGUCGAGUUGAGCGUCAAGUCGCCCGUUGCUUCCUAUUACCAGCUAACUUUGUUUUUCUUUGUGGUGUCAAGACUCAGGCAUCAAUUUGCUCAUUGUGUCUACCCACUGGCUCACUUUGAUUUUCCUGUUUUUGACAGAUUCUUAGGCGUGUGCUAUUUGUGGUCGGCUAAUAAUUGUCGAACUUGACGAUUCAGGUGAGAAGACAUUGGGCAUCGUCUGACUUUGAGUUUCCGUGCCACAUGAAGCAGUUGGAUGUGGUACUUGUGGAGUGGCAGUUCUUGCUAACUUCGAUAUUUGUCGGUGUCGAGUUGAGCGGCGAGUCUCCCAUUGCAUCAUCGUACCAGCUUCAUUUUUUCUUGGUGGUGUCAAGACUCAGGCAUCGAUUUCGGCCCACUGGCUUUGUUGGUGGCGAGUUGAGCGGCAAGUCCCCCAUUGCAUCAUCGUAUCAGCUUCGUUUUUCUUUGUGGUGUCAAGACUCAGGCAUGAUUUCGUCCCACUGGCCCCCUUCAAUUUCUUGUUUUUGGCUGAUUUCUUAGGCGUGUGUUUUAUGUGGACGACUGGUCUUGUUUAUAUUGGUUGAUGUGGCUAGUCCUGAUCUUA